CACUUGUGUCCCUCUGUAAAUGCUGCGUGAUGUGUUCAGGUACCGAGGAUCGUUCGCGUGCCGAGAUAGUUUUUAAUGCAAAAUUUUAAUUCGACUUCCGAAUUGUUUGAGAACAGGAACGUUCGAGUUCUGAGGUUCCACUGUAUAUUUAAAAGCAGUGUGCAAAAACUGCAGAUCUCAUUUGUGCUGCCUUUCAAGCCCUCCUCUUCUAACCCUGCCCAUACAUUAUGUGACAGUUCAAUCACAGACUUCCC